GUGUCAGCCGCCGCGGUAAUACGUAGGGGGCAAGCGUUGUCCGGAUUUAUUGGGCGUAAAGAGCGUGUAGGCGGCUUUACAGGUCCGUUGUGAAAACUCGAGGCUCAACCUCGAGACGCCGGUGGAAACCGUAAAGCUAGAGUCCGGAAGAGGAGAGUGGAAUUCCUGGUGUAGCGGUGAAAUGCGCAGAUAUCAGGAAGAACACCCGUGGCGAAGGCGGCUCUCUGGGACGGUACUGACGCUGAGACGCGAAAGCGUGGGGAGCGAACAGGAUUAGAUACCCUGGUAGUCCACGCCGUAAACGAUGGGUGCUAGGUGUGGGCGGUGUCGACUCCGUCCGUGCCGAAGCUAACGCAUUAAGCACCCCGCCUGGGGAGUACGGCCGCAAGGCUAAA
rnacentral:rRNA from 1 species